CAGUUUUGACCGUGAUGAUGAGCAGUUUGCCCGGAGAAGAGAGGAGAUCAGACAGCGAGCAGAUGAACGGAGGGAGGAGAGGAAGGUGAAACAUGAUGAAAUCCGCAAGAAGUACGGUCUCAUCCCAGACUCCGAUCAUCCGUACAGCAAGUUCGAGAACGAGUAAAAGCCACGGAUUGGAUCCCUUCACCACACGCUUUGCUCUGAGACGCACCGGAUCACUUUAGGUUAGAUGGAGCCGAUACGGAGAUGACCUUCUCAGUCCUUCCAUUGCUUAGAAAUCUGUGUUAAUAAUAAGAAUAAUAAUAUUUUCUGUAUUACUCAAACACAACAGCAGCACACUGCUAAAGAAUAGUUUUCAUCCUCUGUAUUUUUGUCUUGAUUUCCAAUAAAUAUCUUAACUAUCUAUCUUAAAUCAAGAUAGUAAAAUGACAUGCGAUGUAAAGUUAAAAAUGCAUCAACCUGAAGUGAUUUCAGGCUUAAAACAUGAACAAAUAUCUUCCAGUGGGGUGAGAAAAAUCUACUUCAUUUAAAAGGUUUUUCUAAUCUCAUUAGCAGAUAUUUCUUUCUAGCUUAAUGCAUUAACUCACUACGUUUUGAUACAUUUUUCACAAAAUAAGAUCUGCAGUAAAUGUGUCUUGAUUUAAGAAUGUGACAAAAAUACUGACUUUUUUUGUGCACAUUUUAAUGCUUUAGAAGAUGGAACGGGUAGCUGUUCGAAUGUGACUCUUUUGUUUCUUUGUGUUCUUAUAGAGAGUUGGAGAACUAGUUUAUGCAAAAAUGUAAUUUAUUCACCCUCCUGUCGCUCUUUUCUGCUCGACAACAGCUCAUACCGAGCAGGACUUUCAAAAUAAGAAGUGCAUGCUGUAUUUCUAUCAAGUCUCUUUGUAUUGAGCCAUAUGAUACUUUCUUUGAGAAACAGACCUAGGUUUUAUUCUCUGAUAAUCCACAAAGAGCCAAAAACAUUGUGCAAUAAAUGCAAAUGAGAUUUUAGAGCUGCAGUGGCGGAGAAGAUGAUUAGUGACUUGAUUGCAGUCUGUUUCUCACACAAAGCAUCAAAUGGCUUCAGAAAUAUAGCACAUGCACCAUAUGAACUGCUGUUAUGAUGCAUUCAGAUAAUGCAUUUUAUUUUACUUUAUAAAAUGCAUCAUGUGGAUUACUGUUAUGAUGCUUUUAUGGAUUCUUUGUCAUUUUUGUCACUAUGAACCGUUGUCGAAAAGACGUGCAUGAAAAAUUCUAACAACUUGUGCGUUUGUAACGACAUGAGGGUGAAUAAACGACAACUAAGUUGAGUUUUUCAGUGAAUUAUUGCACUUUCUGAUUCAGUUGUGAUUGCAAACUCAGCAUCUUUUUUUUUUUAAUCGCUCUGGCUUCUGUGAAUGAUCUAGACGUUUGUAUUUAUACCGUGUUCUUAUCAAAACAUGUCCUAAUAAAACAAGCUUCCACUUUUA